GACGUAGGGCGCGAGCGUUGUCCGGAUUUAUUGGGCGUAAAGAGCUCGUAGGCGGCUCAUUGCGUCAACCGUGAAAACCAGCAGCUCAACUGUUGGCUUGUGGUUGAUACGGGUGGGCUGGAGUUCGGUAGGGGAGACUGGAAUUCCUGGUGUAGCGGUGAGAUGCGCAGAUAUCAGGAGGAACACCGGUGGCGAAGGCGGGUCUCUGGGCCGAUACUGACGCUGAGGAGCGAAAGCGUGGGGAGCGAACAGG
rnacentral:rRNA from 1 species